AGUGAACGCUGGCGGUAUGCCUAACACAUGCAAGUCGAACGGCAGCACAGUAAGUGCUUGCUCUAACGGGUGGCGAGAGGCGGACGGGAGAGGAAUACAUCGGAAUCUACUUUUCCGUGGGGGCUAACGUAGGUAAACUUACGCUAAUACCGCAUACGACCUACGGGUGAAAGCAGGGGAUCUUUUGACCUUUCGCGUGUGAUUGAGGCGAUGUCGGAUUAGAUAGUUGGCGGGGCAAAGGACCACCUAGGCGACGAUCCGUAGCCGGUCGGGGAGGAUGAUAGGCCGCCCUGGAGCGGGGACACGGUCAAGACUCCUACGGGACGCAGCAGUGGGGAAUGUGGGACAAAGGGGGCAAGCCUGAUCCAGCCAUACCGCGUGGGUGAAGGAGGCCUUCGGGUUGUGAAGCCCUUUUGUUGGGAAAGAAAAGCAGCAGGUUAAGACCCAGCUGUAGUGACGGUACCCAAAGAAUAAGCACCGGCUAACUUCGUG
rnacentral:rRNA from 1 species